UCGACCCAUCAGUUUAUGUAAUGUGGGAUAUAAAAUUAUUUCAAAGGUGCUUUGCCAAUGGCUGAAAAGGCUACUUCUGUGGCAUGGCGGAUAAGCUGGCACGAGGUGCUAGGAAUCAGCCUUCUGAUAUGGUUUAUGUUGACUCAAUUCCCCCAAGGUGGCUCCACGGAAGAAGGCAAACAAAAUGACUGGUCAUAUUUAUAUCCCACAUUGGCAAAAGCACCUUUGAAAUAAUUUUAUAUCCCACAUUACCUAAACUGAUGGGUCGAAGUUCUGUCAUUCGAUUUGGCCGCACUGUCUUCGGAAUGAGACAAAUAUUGGUCAUAUUUAUUCUUUCAUCCAAUGAUCCUGUCCU
rnacentral:lncRNA from 1 species